rnacentral:rRNA from 1 species
AGAGUUUGAUCCUGGCUCAGAUUGAACGCUGGCGGCAUGCCUUACACAUGCAAGUCGAACGGCAGCACGGGAGCAAUCCUGGUGGCGAGUGGCGAACGGGUGAGUAAUAUAUCGGAACGUGCCCAGUCGUGGGGGAUAACGUAGAGAAAUUUACGCUAAUACCGCAUACGAUCUAAGGAUGAAAGCGGGGGACUCGCAAGGGCCUCGCGCGAUUGGAGCGGCUGAUAUCAGAUUAGGUUGUUGGUGAGGUAAAAGCUCACCAAGCCGACGAUCUGUAGCUGGCUUGAGAGAACGACCAGCCACACUGGGAAUGAGACACGGCCCAGACUCCUACGGGAGGCAGCAGUGGGGAAUUUAGGACAAUGGGCG